rnacentral:rRNA from 1 species
CCUACGGGCGGCAGCAGUGAGGAAUAUUGGUCAAUGGACGAGAGUCUGAACCAGCCAAGUAGCGUGAAGGAUGACUGCCCUAUGGGUUGUAAACUUCUUUUAUAAAGGAAUAAAACGAGGCACGUGUGCCUUUUUGCAUGUACUUUAUGAAUAAGGCUCGGCUAACUCCGUGCCAGCAGCCGCGGUAAUACGGAGGAUCCGAGCGUUAUCCGGAUUUAUUGGGUUUAAAGGGAGCGUAGAUGGGUUGUUAAGUCAGUUGUGAAAGUUUGCGGCUCAACCGUAAAAUUGCAAUUGAUACUGGCAGUCGUGAGUACAGUUGAGGUAGGCGGAAUUCGUGGUGUAGCGGUGAAAUGCUUAGAUAUCACGAAGAACCCCGAUUGCGAAGGCAGCUUACUAAACUGUGACUGACAUUGAUGCUCGAAAGUGUGGGUAUCAAACAGGAUUAGAUACCCUUGUAGUC